rnacentral:rRNA from 1 species
GGGGAACCUGCGGCUGGAUNACCUCCUUU